GGGAUCUGCAGCACAAGCCAUUCUUGCAGCCUGGGUCUCAAGAUGAAUGCUCAGGUUCCUUGGAAGACGGCAAUGCUACCAGCCGUAAGUGUAGGUGUCCCAAAUAUCGGGAAGGGAGAGGACGCCAACUUUCCUCCCGUUUGUUGAGCAACUCGCCGAGUCACAGGAGGAUACGCACUUCUCCUUUUCCUGACGCUGAUACGUGGUGAUGGCGGCCUUGACUUUGCACUGGACCAUCGGCUGAAUGAGUUCACGUGAAGAGGAAGUUGGGAAAGGCCCCGGCCUCGGCAAGCCGCUCGUGUACGUGCCUUGAUUGGACGACAAUGGCCGGCUCGUCCGGUCCGGGUCCGGUUGUGGUGGAGAGCGACAUGUGCGGAUGUGCCGCUUGAGGUUCUAGGGCGAAGGUCACGGUUGUCGCUGGGUUCAGAUUUGUCGUGCGGCUGCUUUGCUAGCUGCGGUGAUUCUCUGCCGUUGGGUUUCUUUUUGCCAGCCGGUGCCGUCCGGUGGUCGACACCUUGCCAGUCGAGAGCACACCUGUGAACUGGUUGGUAGCCUUGUGUCAAACCUGCACUUGAAAUGCACGGCUGUUGCUGGACUUUGGGUCGGUUCGCAUUGAUCACAUCCAAUUUAGGGAUAAAUUUUGUUUUUUGUCGCUAAGCCUUUGUAUCAUUGCAUGUUUUCUAAAAAAAAAAUGCUGUAUUUUCUUUUUGACUAGUGAUAGCAAGAACUAUUUUUUCCUCU